rnacentral:rRNA from 1 species
UACGUAGGGGGCAAGCGUUGUCCGGAAUCAUUGGGCGUAAAGCGCGUGUAGGCGGUUCAGUAAGUCUGCUGUGAAAGUCCAGGGCUCAACCCUGGGAUGCCGGUGGAUACUGCUGGACUAGAGUGCGGAAGAGGAGAGUGGAAUUCCUGGUGUAGCGGUGAAAUGCGCAGAUAUCAGGAGGAACACCGGUGGCGAAGGCGGGUCUCUGGGCCGAUACUGACGCUGAGGAGCGAAAGCGUGGGGAGCGAACAGG